rnacentral:rRNA from 1 species
GUCAGCGUAUGCCUUCGGGUACACGAGCGGCGAACGGGUGAGUAACACGUGGGUGAUCUGCCCUGCACUUCGGGAUAAGCCUGGGAAACUGGGUCUAAUACCGGAUAUGACCUUCGGCUGCAUGGCCGUUGGUGGAAAGGUUUACUGGUGCAGGAUGGGCCCGCGGCCUAUCAGCUUGUUGGUGGGGUAAUGGCCUACCAAGGCGACGACGGGUAGCCCGACCUGAGAGGGUGACCGGCCACACUGGGACUGAGACACGGCCCAGACUCCUACGGGAGGCAGCAGUGGGGAAUAUUGCACAAUGGGCGAAAGCCUGAUGCAGCGACGCCGCGUGAGGGAUGACGGCCUUCGGGUUGUAAACCUCUUUCAGCAGGGACGAAGCGUAAGUGACGGUACCUGCAGAAGAAGCACCGGCCAACUACGUGCCAGCAGCCGCGGUAAUACGUAGGGUGCAAGCGUUGUCCGGAAUUACUGGGCGUAAAGAGCUCGUANGCGGUUUGUCGCGUCGUCUGUGAAAACUCGAGGCUCAACCUCGAGCUUGC